rnacentral:rRNA from 1 species
CAUUCAGUUGGGCACUCUAGGGAGACUGCCGGUGACAAACCGGAGGAAGGUGGGGAUGACGUCAAAUCAUCAUGCCCCUUAUGAGUUGGGCUACACACGUGCUACAAUGGACGGUACAAAGGGCAGCGAGACCGCGAGGUGGAGCCAAUCCCAUAAAGCCGUUCCCAGUUCGGAUUGCAGGCUGCAACUCGCCUGCAUGAAGUCGGAAUCGCUAGUAAUCGCAGGUCAGCAUACUGCGGUGAAUACGUUCCCGGGUCUUGUACACACCGCCCGUCACGCCACGAGAGUUUGCAACACCCGAAGCCGGUGAGUAAC